rnacentral:rRNA from 1 species
UGUAGUCUCAACGAUGAUGCAUACAUGUCAACUAUGGGUGUUUGCACCAACAAUUCGCAUUCUCAAACCAAUGACAUGCAUUUUGAAGACCAUGAGUUCGAGGUGGAUGAGGAGGGUGAGGGCAUUGUCGACGCGCUGAAAGGAAGAGCGGGCAAUUACACCAACGCCGAUGACAUCUUACUAUGCAAUACUUGGUUGCAAGUGUCGAGGGAUCCAUCCGUUGGAGGUGAACAAAGUAGAGAUGCUUAUUGGGGGUGGAUGAAAGAACACUAUGAUGUUAACAACGUGAGUGGAAUUGACCGCUCUGAGAGAUCACUUCGGUCCCGGUGGUCGACAAUCAACUCAAAUUGUCAAAAGUGGGCGGCUUGUCAAAAGGCGGUUAACAAAUUGAACCCAAGUGGCACAAAUGAGGACGAUAGAGUAAGUGGCAUUUCCAUACAUGUUCAUCAUACUUGUUGUUGGUGUUCGAAGUGCUAA